GACGAACGCUGGCGGCGUGCCUAAUACAUGCAAGUAGAACGCUGAAGGAGGAGCUUGCUUCUCCGGAUGAGUUGCGAACGGGUGAGUAACGCGUAGGUAACCUGCCUGGUAGCGGGGGAUAACUAUUGGAAACGAUAGCUAAUACCGCAUAAGAGUAGAUGUUGCAUGACAUUUGCUUAAAAGGUGCAAUUGCAUCACUACCAGAUGGACCUGCGUUGUAUUAGCUAGUUGGUGAGGUAACGGCUCACCAAGGCGACGAUACAUAGCCGACCUGAGAGGGGGACGGGCACACCGGGAAUGGGACACGGGCCAGGACUCCACGGGGAGGCGCAGGAGGGGAUCCUUCGGAAAUGACGGAAGGCUGAACGGACAACGCCGGGGGAGGGGAGGAGGGUUUUGGAUCGUAAAAGUCCGGUUUAAGGGAAGAACGAGUGUGAGAGUGGAAAGUUCACACUGUGACGGUAUCUUACCAGAAAGGGACGGCUAACUACGUG
rnacentral:rRNA from 1 species